UUUAUACGCUUUUAUGUAUGUUAAACGCUCUUCACUGCGCGCUCAGGUGAUUCAUUCAUCUUCACGCGCGCAGCGGUGGGAGGGGUCUCGUACCUGUGGUAGUGGGUGAUAUCCGCCAUGUUUGUGCGGUUUGGAGCGGACGCAAAGAAGUGUUAUCAUUGCUGAAGAAAUGGCAGAUUUUAAUCCCCAGACACCAAGCAGUGCAAGCCCUGAAGAAAUAAGACCAUGGACAUCAUCUUCUCUGACUGAACUAGCAUGGAGCUGUUGGAGCCAAUGAGUAAGCUGCUAAGUUCAAGUGGAAUGUUUAAUGAUUAUUUCUAAGUUUACUGAGCGAUGUAAACUGCUGUCAUCCACAUCACAUCAUUGCUCUAACCGACAUUACCAGAAGAAUCUUUUCAGCGUGGCAGAUAUUCACAAGCGUCUGGAGCGAACUUAUGCUGAACUGGAUGUUUACUGGAGAGUGAGCUUCAACACUUAAGGUAACUUCAAUUGAGUUGAAAUGCAAGUUGCGUGAUGUCUCCUCAGAUAACUGGACACAGACUCGACUAUCUUUUCUACAUCCACUGUUGGUUAUACACUUGUGUGUUUUUGGUUUUCUAGGUUUGUACAAAGUUACACCAUAUCACUGAAAACAACACGCAUCAACAGAUUUCAGAGACUCUGCGUGACAUUUUAAAUGUUUAUGAUCUUCAGGGUGUGCAUGAUGUCAACAUGAAACUGUAGCCCUCCGUGCUCUUCAGUGUACCUGUGUGAGGAGGACCCACAAUUCUUCAAGACUUGAGGCGUUGGGAGAGCCAGACAUCACUGAUUUUGUCAGUGUGGUCAACGAAACGAAAGCACAAGUCCUUUCAAGCACUGCAGUUGUUAUAGAAGAUGAUCUUCAGUUUUGGCAUGUUCAGAAGCACUUGUUCACACAGUCACAGGACUAAUCUUCAAAAAAAUCUUCAAUUGUACAGCUGAAGGUUUAUUUUAUGUAUUUAAUUUUUUAGGUGUUGUUUGUUUUUGUCUUUUGAGUUAGUAUUUUUAUGUAAUGAAGUCCUGCAGAGGUGCCUGAUCCUGUUCCUGGAGAUCUACCUGCCUGCAGAGUUCAGCUAAGUUAUUCAGCUAAUUAUUUUGCUAAGUACAAAAUGUGUUUAACAGCAAAACUUUUUCCAUUUACCAAUGUGUUUACAACAUUUUUUUUUUUAAGUUUGUCUAUACUAAUUUUACAGUCUGUGUAUAAGUAAAUACCAGUGUAUAAUUUUUUUCAAAAUGUGGUAAAUGUUAUUUAUGUAUUUAUAUAAUUAAAAUGUAAGUAAUGUUGGCUGAGUAUCAAAUUUAAAUGAAAAAUGUAUGAACAGUAUGGUAGAAAUAUAAACGGGGCUGGCCGUUUCUGGCGCGCUGUGCGCAUACCGGCUUGAUUGCGGCAGUGUCGGCAAGGUAACGGCUGCCGCAUCUGGCCCGAUUGAUUCGGCCCGGAAUUAGGCAGUGAGUACACAGGAAUCCGGCCCGAUCGCUGCAGAAAGAAACGGGCCGAGUGGUAAGUCUCCGGCAGGCGAGAAUCUAACAGGAACUGGCCCGAGUGUAUUUUGCUAUCUCUCUCCAUCUGUAAAUGUCAUUGGCUGUUAAA